AAAGGAAUAGACGGGACCCCGCACAAGCAGCGGAGCAUGUUGUUUAAUUCGAAGCAACGCGAAGAACCUUACCAGGGCUUGACAUCCUACAAAUCUGCCAGAGAUGGCGGAGUGCCCUUCGGGGAAUGUAGAGACAGGUGGUGCAUGGUUGUCGUCAGCUCGUGUCGUGAGAUGUUGGGUUAAGUCCCGCAACGAGCGCAACCCUUACAUUUAGUUGCCAGCACGUAACGGUGGGAACUCUAAAUGGACAGCCGGGGUAACCCGGAGGAAGGUGGGGACGACGUCAAAUCAUCAUGCUCCUUAUGUCCUGGGCUACAAACGUGCUACAAUGGCCACAACAAAGGGCAGCAAGACCGCAAGGUGGAGCGAAACCGAUAAAAGUGGCCCCAGUUCGGAUUGAGGGCUGCAACCCGCCCUCAUGAAGUCGGAGUUGCUAGUAAUCGCGAGUCAGCAUAUCGCGGUGAAUACGUUCCCGGGGUUUGUACACACCGCCCGU
rnacentral:rRNA from 1 species